UCAAACAACACCACGGUGUCCGCCAGAAAACUACAAGUGAAAAACUCAAAACUCAAAGGACUUGACGGUGUCCCACAUCAGCCUAGAGGAGCCUGUCCUAUAAUCGAUUCUCCACGCUUCACCUUACCCCUUCUUGUAGGUCCAACCUAUAUACCGCCGUCGUCAGCCCACCUCGUAAGAGCCCCCACUGUGAGCCCCAAAGCCCCCACACCGCUCUCACGCCAGGUCAAGGUGUAGUCCAUGAAGGGGCAGCGAUGGGCUACAUUUUCUAACCUAGACUAUACCCACGCACACAUGAAACAUCUGCCAAAAGGCGGAUUUAGCAGUAAGCACAGCAAGCACGCUCACCUGAACCCCGCCCUGGGACGCGCACACACCGCCCGUCACCC
rnacentral:rRNA from 1 species